GAUGAACGCUAGCUACAGGGCUUAACACAUGCAAGUCGAGGGGCAGCAUGAACAAAGCUUGCUUUGUUUGAUGGCGACCGGCGCACGGGUGCGUAACACGUAUCCAAUCUGCCCGCGGCUCGGGGAUAGCCCAUCGAAAGAUGGAUUAAUACCCGAUGGUGUGGUUUCUCCGCAUGGGGUUUCCACUAAAGGUUUUCCGGCCGCGGAUGAGGAUGCGUAUGAUUAGGUAGUAGGCGGGGUAACGGCCCACCUAGCCUUCGAUCAUUAGGGGUUCUGAGAGGAAGGUCCCCCACACUGGAACUGAGACACGGUCCAGACUCCUACGGGAGGCAGCAGGUGGGGGAUAUUGCACAAUGGGGGAAACCCUGACCCAGCAACGCCGCGUGAAGGAAGAAGGCCUUCGGGUUGUAAACUUCUUUUACCAGGGACGAAGAACGUGACGGUACCUGGAGAAAAAGCAACGGCUAACUACGUG
rnacentral:rRNA from 1 species